ACUGAAACCCGACUUUCUUCUUCUCCUUCUCUCUCUCUUUCGAAAACUAUUCUUGUUCUGAAGAUCUAAAGUUUGUCCUACUGAGUGUAUUUUUUUAUUUUUUAUUGGUUCUCUUUAAUGCUUGAUUUUCUUUUCUGAAGCUAGGGUUUCAGGUGUCACUUUUUUCUGUUGUUUUGAUCGAAGAGUGCUCUUGGCUUCUUGUACGAUCAUGUUUGGAUAAGAGGCAGCCAUUUAACUAGAUAACCAGAUGAAGGAGAAUAUCACUAGAAGGGACAGAAGUGCUCAUAUUGCUUGUAGACCGACAACCACUUCAAUCUACACAAUGAUACACUUUCAAUUGUUUGAUGGACUCUUAGUUGAUCUAAAUAAAUCAAUUUGAAGGUUAUGAAAGACACAUAAGGAAAAAGGGCAAAAGAUUCAGUUAAUAAGGUGGGACUAUCUUUGUGUACUUAAAUUAGAAAAUGAAGUUGGGCACUUCAAGAUCCAGAAUGUAGCUAUGCUAGCGAAAACUGGACUGUAAUUGUUGAGUAACGAUUCUAUAACAAGAGCCUUUUAUACAGUAAUUAUUUCAUGGAAAA